UACGUAGGGUGCGAGCGUUAAUCGGAAUUACUGGGCGUAAAGCGCGCGCAGGCGGUUUUGUAAGUCGGAUGUGAAAGCCCCGGGCUUAACCUGGGAAUGGCAUUUGGGACUGCAAGGCUUGAGUGCGGCAGAGGAGACUGGAAUUCCUGGUGUAGCAGUGAAAUGCGUAGAUAUCAGGAGGAAUACCGAUGGCGAAGGCAGGUCUCUGGGCUGACACUGACGCUCAUGCACGAAAGCGUGGGGAGCAAACAGG
rnacentral:rRNA from 1 species